UACGUAGGGGGCAAGCGUUGUCCGGAAUCAUUGGGCGUAAAGAGCGCGUAGGCGGCCCGGUAAGUCCGCUGUGAAAGUCCAGGGCUCAACCCUGGGAUGCCGGUGGAUACUGUCGGGCUCGAGUCCGGAAGAGGAGUGUGGAAUUCCUGGUGUAGCGGUGAAAUGCGCAGAUAUCAGGAGGAACACCAGUGGCGAAGGCAGCACUCUGGGACGUGACUGACGCUGAGACGCGAAAGCGUGGGGAGCAAACAGG
rnacentral:rRNA from 1 species